GCGACGGACCCUCGAGAAGGACGUCUCCUCGUCGCGGUCUCSGUGGUGCCCGACGCACUUCUCCCCGCCCUCUGGACGCCGCAACGGAUCGGGUAGCUGCGAGAGUCGGCCUUGAGGCCAUCCCAGGCAGGUGGCCGGAUCGUCGGCAUUCGUGCAGGCGUUCCGGUUAUUCACGGGGUGGUUUUACGUGGCGCGACACCCGAUCGAGGUCGAAGUUCCCCGUGCGGGGAACAAUCCGUCUCCGYYUCUCACGAGGCGCGGCGGCCGGGACAGUGAGCGCCGACGAUGCCGACCCACUCCGAGUAGUGGCCGGCGCGGCGGUGGCCGUCGAUGGUUCCGGUGCUWUGCCGCAGCGAGGCGACGCGGGUUGCGGCGAGUAGGUCGGUAACCCACCCGACCCGUCUUGAAACACGGACCAAGGAGUCUAACAUGUGCGCGAGUCGCAGGGUCUUGUACAGGCCCUCGGGCGCAAUGAAAGUGAAAAAAA
rnacentral:rRNA from 1 species